rnacentral:lncRNA from 1 species
GACAGCCUUAGCCUGCACUGAAGUUUACUUUGUAAUUUGCUGACGUUUCUCCUUUCCCCCCUCAUUCUUCCCCUGCCUCCUGCUUACAGAUGUGACCAACUGUUCCACAAUAGGGAAAUUCCGAGGAGUUCAGAUUCUUUCAUUCCUUCUGGUCCGAGGCAGCAUUGGUAUCAAGUGUUCCUAACAGGUGGGGGCAUUGGGGGUAUUGGUCAUACUGGUGUUGUUGGCGAGGACGAAGCUUGGGCAUCGGGCAGAAUGUUGCCACCUGCAUGA